rnacentral:rRNA from 1 species
CAGUAGCCGCGGUAAUACGUAGGUGGCAAGCGUUAUCCGGAAUUAUUGGGCGUAAAGCGCGCGUAGGCGGUUUUUUAAGUCUGAUGUGAAAGCCCACGGCUCAACCGUGGAGGGUCAUUGGAAACUGGAAAACUUGAGUGCAGAAGAGGAGAGUGGAAUUCCACGUGUAGCGGUGAAAUGCGUAGAGAUGUGGAGGAACACCAGUGGCGAAGGCGACUCUUUGGUCUGUAACUGACGCUGAGGAGCGAAAGCGUGGGGAGCGAACAGGAUUAGAUACCCGGGUAGUCCCUGUCUCUUAUAC